rnacentral:rRNA from 1 species
GAAACGGCUGCUAAUACCGCAUAAGCGCACAGAGCUGCAUGGCUCGGUGUGAAAAACUCCGGUGGUAUGGGAUGGGCCCGCGUCUGAUUAGGCAGUUGGCGGGGUAACGGCCCACCAAACCGACGAUCAGUAGCCGGCCUGAGAGGGCGACCGGCCACAUUGGGACUGAGACACGGCCCAAACUCCUACGGGAGGCAGCAGUGGGGAAUAUUGCACAAUGGGGGAAACCCUGAUGCAGCGACGCCGCGUGAGCGAAGAAGUAUUUCGGUAUGUAAAGCUCUAUCAGCAGGGAAGAUAAUGACGGUACCUGACUAAGAAGCCCCGGCUAACUACGUGCCAGCAGCCGCGGUAAUACGUAGGGGGCAAGCGUUAUCCGGAUUUACUGGGUGUAAAGGGAGCGUAGACGGCAAGGCAAGUCUGAUGUGAAAACCCAGGGCUUAACCCUGGGACUGCAUUGGAAACUGUCUGGCUCGAGUGCCGGAGAGGUAAGCGGAAUUCCUAGUGUAGCGGUGAAAUGCGUAGAUAUUAGGAAGAACACCAGUGGCGAAGGCGGCUUACUGGACGGUAACUGACGUUGAGGCUCGAAAGCGUGGGGAGCAAACAGGAUUAGAUACCCUGGUAGUCCACGCUGUAAACGAUGAAAGGGAGGUGUUGGGGAGCAAAGCUCUUCGGUG